UAUUAAUGCAUAAUGUCAUUUCUGGAACUCUUCCAACAGUUAUGGGUCACAAUGACAAUAUGCCACUCCAUUGGCUGAGCACUUGUUUGCAACAAUGAGCUACACAUGUUGGCCAAUACUGCCACAAUUUAACGCUUCUGUUCCUCUUGGCACAUCUGAAUGGGUGGCAUCUGGUCCAAAUUUUGGGUCCCUUUGAGGAUGCGUGAUAGGUAACUCUCAUCUGGAUAGCAGAGACACUUGACCAGCCAAUUACGUAUUCUGGAAUCCAGGAAGUUUAUGUAGGGAGCUUAAACGGAAGAUGCGUCUGAGAAACUCCCAUCAAGAGCACAUCCCAGCUUUUCAACGAUUGUAUAAGCCAGCGUUUGUUAAGUGCUUCCUCUGUCCCAGGAACUCUUUCAAGUGUUUUACGUGUAGUAACUCUUUUCAUAUAUGACCAUCUUAUGAAAUGGGAUCCCAUGGUAACGACCAGAGGGUACAGGAGAGUGAAAUGUUGACACUGGAUUGGAAAGUUUGCUGAGUAAGGCCUGGUAUCAAAAGAAAGCCAGAAUCGGAAAACCUCCAUCAGCUCACUCAGUCUCCUCUUAGCGUUCAAUCCCCUGACUGCAGGAGAUGCACUAGACCCUUUCAAUGAAGUCAUGGAAUCUUUGACAGAUUUUUCCAACCACUCUGUCAUUUCCUUCAGCAACAAGAUGAUUCUCAAAGCUGAAGCGCCAGAGUUCUGGGCUGACACCUAGCUCAAAAUAGAUACGGGGCAUGUCAAUUAACACAGAUGAAGAAAUGGAAGGAUCAACUAUUAAUCAAUUUCAAAAAAAAGAUCAUAUAUAGUUGUGAUGGGCUGAAUGUUUGUGUGCCUCCAAAUUUCAUAUGUUGAAGCCUUAACCUUCAGUGUGAUGGUGUUUGGAAGUGGGGCCUUUGGGAGUUAAUAAGGUUUAGAUGAGGUCACGAGGGUGGGGACCCUACAAUGGGAUUAGAGUCCUUAUAAGAACAUGAAGAAACCACAGCUCUCUCUCUCUCUCCACCAUGUGAGGAUACAGCUGGAAGGGGGUUGUCUGCAAGCCGGGAAGAGGGUUCUCACCAAACUUAACCGUACCGGCCCCCUGAUCCUUCCAGUCUCUAGAACUCUGAGAAAUAAAUGUCUGUUUUUUAAUCCACCCAGUCUACGGUAUUUUAGUAUAGCAGAUCAAGCAAAGACAAUAGUAUAA
rnacentral:lncRNA from 1 species